rnacentral:tRNA from 1 species
GGGCCCGUAGCUCAGUUGGUUAGAGCGCCGGUCUUAUAAGCCGGAAGUCUGGAGUUGCGCUUUUUAGGAAAAAGCGCCCAAAAACUGGGACGCUAAAUGGUACACCAGAGUUCGAAUGAUUCCUGUUACGAGACACGAAACAGGACGCAAUUGUUGCCCAGAAAAAGAGGCAACAAUGCGCCCAUUGUUCGACGCAUCGAACAAUCGGGAACUGGCUUUCUCCACGGGCCCA